AAAGACGCUUCACGUUAUGGAGUUUUCUCUACUAAAAAUGAAAGAAUUAUGAUAAUAUCACCGACGGAAACGGAAGGAAGUCUGGAAAAGAUCAUUUAAAACAAAGCGAAACAGAGUGUUUGUCCGUUAGGUUUCCAUAGGUUUUCCAAAGCGAUACAGUAUUUAAAAAGUUUACACUAAUUUAUUAUUUGCAUUGCAGGAGUCUUCUUUUGAAGCACUGGGGCUGGAACAACGAAACACAAAGCCUAAAGUUCACGAGUUUUGAACUCCCUGGAGAAAUACAAGAAUAAAAUAAAAUGACGAAGUCAUCUACGUGGCCAACCAAGAGCCGUUCAGAAGACAUCUGAAACAUCCUUUCACUGGUUCAUGUGGUUGGCUGAAACAUGGAAAUAAUUAUGGCUUAAUAUCUUUAUUCUCUUGGCAAGACUUUGAUGUUUUUAUUCUGAGCAAUUGAUUUACGAAGUUUCAUUUCUCAAAGAAACACUGUGGGAGCAGCUCAACUGAAUGCCUUCAAGACGUCAAUAAAACGCUCACAAAAGACACAUGUCAAAUUCAUGAUGUCAUGUAGGUCCUUAAUGACUCUUAGUUUGCUGCAUAAUGGAAACAAAACGAACUUCGAGAAGUCAAGGUAUUUUUCUAAUAGCAAGGAUAUUUAAGUUCAUCGUUAUCGUGUUACAGUGUCAGCUGUCCCUUUAUUACAAAAGGAUGAAUUUCCAAUACCUGUUUUGUGUCUCUACUAAAGAGUGAUGAGAGGAAGAAAAAGGCAGAAACAUUUGUUAAAGUGGAGCUGGCGCAAAAACAGCUUGCCCUGAAUAAUGCCAUGCUUCUGAUAGGGAAGGGUUUCAGGGUUGUCUCUCUUUUUAUUGCCAGGUUUUGCAGUUUCUCUUUUCAACUACUGACAUCUUGUGGGCAUUCACUGUAAGGGUAUUGCAGCCAUCUGCAGACUGAAGCAAAUCAAUGUCACAGGCACCUUCUGGAAUAAGAGACAAAAAUGGACAAAAGAAACUAACUUGAAAAAAACGACUCGCGUCAAUAGUUUAAUUUGAAUAAUACAAGUUUCAAAAGACCAAAACUUACCAAAUAGAUGUUUUACACCAUCUUCUGUAAACACAAAUGGUGGACCUGUAUGCCAGAUUUGACAACAGAAAUUAUUAAAUACUACUUGCUUUAUAAAGACAACAGCAUUGUUUUACAUUGGGCUUUCUUUCCUAAAGAAACAUAUGAAUAUAUCAUAAGUGGGGUAUACUGUUCAUAAUAUUGUAAAUUUUGCAAUAAUGACUGCCAAAAAUUAUGAAACUGGUCUACGUACUUUUGCCUGUCACAUUGGUUUAUAGCCACCAGUGCUCCUCUAUCCCAAAUUGCUCCAAACUUCCAUGUAAUUGCACUGCAUGUUAACAAAAACCCAAUGAGACCGAUAAUGAGAAAAGGGGCAUUUAAUGGUUUCAUGCGGCAUGUCCUAUUAUCUACACUUGAAAAUGUGAAACAUGCACCUGGAGAACUUGGAUAAAUCACACUGAUAGAUCGAGAUCUUCCCAUCCGCAAUCUGAGAACGAGGAAAUGUAUUAGAGUGGCUAUGACCUUGACUCACACAGUAAACAUAUUGCUGUCUAUACUUCCUUUUAAGACACCUGAGUAUUUCAGAGGGGUUUACAUUUGUAUGUAUCCGAUCUAGCCCACAAGACAACCAUCAACAAAAAUUCAGCAAAUCAUUUUGAGUUCCAGUAAUCCCAUCCGUCUACUUUAAUGACAGGUGUGCGGCAAUGAUAUUAUAUUGACUUUGGGAUACCUUAAAAACCUUUGCUCCAGGAAUUUCUGGUACUGGUUAUUCAUUGAGUUUAAGGCUUUUCUCUUCAAAAAACUAUUUUCCGCAACUUCAACUCAAACCCACCGUGUGACCCAGCCAGCCUAGGAAAAUUGACAAUUUAGGGAACACAAAGAAAAUCUGUACUACUUCUAUUACAGUGGAUUUCAGACCUCAUCCCACUUCAUGUCCACAGCACACAGUGGAAAAAAGAAUCAAAUACUCUUUUGUCCACGUAUGAUUUUGUCUAAGAAUUUUU